ACCACUUUUUCAUUAACAUAAAAUUUAGCUCCUCAUUACAUAGAGUGGAGUAUCCUGAUCCCAUUGAAGUCACUGGCCAAACUCCCAUUACUUUCACUGAGAGCAGGAUCAAGCCAAGUAAUGUAUUGUUCUAAUUUCCUUUAGUGAAAAUCAGAAAUGAUUCAUGACAAGUUCAUUGAGUUUCUGAAGAUCACAUUAAAUAUGAUGUUAUAAACCAACCGCAAGAUCAGUUUUUAUGAAAGAAAUAGGAUGGGUGGGAAGCAGCAAAAUAACUCAACAUAAGAAAUUGCUUAUUCCUCACUUACACAUCGUAUAUGAUCACAGAUAAAUUUCUGAGCUGCUUCUUUCCCAGAAAAUUCAAACAGCUGGAGCUGUAAGUCAGGAACGUAAGAAAAAAAUAGAACAGAAGACAUUAAUUAUAUCCAAAAGUGGAAUUUUCAACCCACUGUUGUAUUUCUUUCAGACAAACAAAAGAAUAAUAUAGGAAUCUAAUCUGACUCUGCCUGAACUAAGGCAUUCAAUUAUAUACAGGAUAACUAAAUAAACAGUUAUAAAGUUAACUUGUUUGCCAUUUUAGGGGGGUGGGAGAAAUCAUAGUUGUUAAUCAAAAAGAAUUAAAGCCUCUGGAUUCAUAUAAAGCCUUUAUAAAGAGAUAGAAAUACCUUUCAGAGCUUCAACUGUGACAUGGAUCUUAAAGUGCUUAUAAUUUAUAAUGUAUCAUAAGGUAGGACAUGGGUUUAUGAGAUUUUAUAUUUGUUUUUAAAAAAACCCAAACCGCUUUUUUCUGCAAAUCUUGUUUAUAAAUUGUAUCUUCUUACUUACUCUUUCAGUCAAGUUAUCUACUUUGUAGUCUAUAUUGGGCGUAAAGUAAGUAUCACUGGUGACAAGACAUACAGUGGCUUUUCGACCUUCCCCUGCUGUCCACAGAAUAUCUCCCAGAGAUUCUGCAAGUGCGUUUUCUUGUUCUGUUUGGCUUAUUUCACAUAAACUGUAAUGCAGGACACAAAAGAAUAUGAAAGGCAUGAAACUGGCAGAUGAACCUACCACAGGAAAACUCUAGGGCAUUGUGUACGCUUGGAGAUAGCCCUGAUUCGGCACUCAGUGCUGGCAUCUAAACAUGGACAGGGCCAUACUGGGCUUUGCAUCAAAUGAGCUAAAGGACCAGCACAAGCGCAGCUACACCAGCUGCUGGCGAUUGCUGAAUCAGGGCAGUGCCUGAGUGUAGCCAAGGCUGUUACAAACAUUAUGAUGUUGACGGGGUUUCUUAUUAUAAACGAGUGCCCUGUGUCCUGACAUGAUUUGGUGUUUCCUGUGUUAGAACCAUUUUAUAAUCAUGCUACAGAAUUACGAUACAAUUCAGUGAAGGUUAAGGUUCUAAUCUGUGUUAUGGCAUGGUCAGGAUACUAUCAUGUAAUAACCUGAUCCCUGACACAAUAAAAUAUGUACUUAGAUUGGCCUUAAUUGACAACCAAAUUCUAUCCCCACAGUAAAAUCUGUGAGAGGAGGCCAGAGGACCUAAGAAACCUUGAAGUGUUUCUGGCAAAUGAUCCUCUAAUGGGGAUGAGCUUAGAGGGAUGGAGGAGGCCAAAGUAUGAAAGCGACAGCCCUGAGGUACCUGCUUCUCUGCAGCACUGCCUCUGCCUGUCCUUAGAAUCGUGCUUGCAUUGGCUGUCCAGGCCACACUAAGUCAGUGUUAUUAGCAGCUGCAUUAGCUCCUGCAUGGUUAUCUGUCGCCAUUAAAGGGGGAUGGGGAGCAUGGCUGGAAGAGGUUUCAGGAGUUCUGAGAGGGAGGACCAUGCCACACUGGCUCCCACCCCUUCGGCUGCGUUCCCACUCCACUUUACUGUAUCAGCUCCCCUCCACACCUCACUGAGAGGGGUUUAAAAGUCUCUGUUAGCUCUUUGCUCAUGUUUUUGUCUCUCUCUUUUGGUUUCUCUCAGGGUGCUAUUGGAGUCUGUCACUGCCAGAGAAAGAAAGAUCUGCCUUUAUAGCAGGUGCAGCUUUACAGAGCUAUCCUGGUUACCCUCUUUGCCCUAUCACCUGAACUGAGGACAUGAACAAUAAUGAAGAUAAUAAUUUCAGAGCUAUUUCUGCUUUAGAAUAAAUUUGUUCCAGGAAGCCAUUUAAGAACAGACUUCAAUAAAGAUUUGAAAUUUUGCUGGAUAUCCAUUUGUUGUAAGCUGUGUUCACCACUGGAUGCCUCCUUGUCCAUCUGUACUCUGCACAAGAGUAAGGGAUGCAAACAUUAAAAAUCAGGAUAUAAACUCCCUUGUAUCUAAAAGAGAAGUGACCCUCUUGGCACAUAUGCCUAUAUGAAGUGUCCUAGCUCAUACUAUC